rnacentral:rRNA from 1 species
UACGUAGGGGGCAAGCGUUGUCCGGAUUUAUUGGGCGUAAAGAGCGUGUAGGCGGCUAGGUAGGUCCGUUGUGAAAACUCGAGGCUCAACCUCGAGACGCCGAUGGAAACCAUCUAGCUAGAGUCCGGAAGAGGAGAGUGGAAUUCCUGGUGUAGCGGUGAAAUGCGCAGAUAUCAGGAGGAACACCAAUUGCGAAGGCAGCUCGCUGGGACGUUACUGACGCUGAGACGCGAAAGCGUGGGGAGCAAACAGG